AAAGGCCAAUCAAACCGGGAGAUAGCUGGUUCUCCCCGAAAGCUAUUUAGGUAGCGCCUCGUGAAUUCAUCUCCGGGGGUAGAGCACUGUUUCGGCUAGGGGGCCAUCCCGGCUUACCAACCCGAUGCAAACUGCGAAUACCGGAGAAUGUUAUCACGGGAGACACACGGCGGGUGCUAACGUCCGUCGUGAAGAGGGAAACAACCCAGACCGCCAGCUAAGGUCCCAAAGUCAUAGUUAAGUGGGAAACGAUGUGGGAAGGCCCAGACAGCCAGGAUGUUGGCUUAGAAGCAGCCAUCAUUUAAAGAAAGCGUAAUAGCUCACUGGUCGAGUCGGCCUGCGCGGAAGAUGUAACGGGGCUAAACUAUGCACCGAAGCUGCGGCAGCGACACUAUGUGUUGUUGGGUAGGGGAGCGUUCUGUAAGCCUGUGAAGGUGUGUCGUGAGGCAUGCUGGAGGUAUCAGAAGUGCGAAUGCUGACAUAAGUAACGAUAAAGCGGGUGAAAAGCCCGCUCGCCGGAAGACCAAGGGUUCCUGUCCAACGUUAAUCGGGGCAGGGUGAGUCGACCCCUAAGGCGAGGCCGAAAGGCGUAGUCGAUGGGAAACGGGUUAAUAUUCCCGUACUUGGUGUUACUGCGAAGGGGGGACGGAGAAGGCUAUGUUGGCCGGGCGACGGUUGUCCCGGUUUAAGCGUGUAGGUGUGUGUUCCAGGUAAAUCCGGUUCACUUUAACACUGAGGCGUGAUGACGAGGCACUACGGUGCUGAAGCAACAAAUGCCCUGCUUCCAGGAAAAGCCUCUAAGCAUCAGGUAACAUCAAAUCGUACCCCAAACCGACACAGGUGGUCAGGUAGAGAAUACCAAGGCGCUUGAGAGAACUCGGGUGAAGGAACUAGGCAAAAUGGUGCCGUAACUUCGGGAGAAGGCACGCUGACACGUAGGUGAAGUGAUUUACUCAUGGAGCUGAAGUCAGUCGAAGAUACCAGCUGGCUGCAACUGUUUAUUAAAAACACAGCACUGUGCAAACACGAAAGUGGACGUAUACGGUGUGACGCCUGCCCGGUGCCGGAAGGUUAAUUGAUGGGGUCAGCGCAAGCGAAGCUCCUGAUCGAAGCCCCGGUAAACGGCGGCCGUAACUAUAACGGUCCUAAGGUAGCGAAAUUCCUUGUCGGGUAAGUUCCGACCUGCACGAAUGGCGUAAUGAUGGCCAGGCUGUCUCCACCCGAGACUCAGUGAAAUUGAACUCGCUGUGAAGAUGCAGUGUACCCGCGGCAAGACGGAAAGACCCCGUGAACCUUUACUAUAGCUUGACACUGAACAUUGAGCCUUGAUGUGUAGGAUAGGUGGGAGGCUUUGAAGUGUGGACGCCAGUCUGCAUGGAGCCGACCUUGAAAUACCACCCUUUAAUGUUUGAUGUUCUAACGUGGACCCGUGAUCCGGGUUGCGGACAGUGUCUGGUGGGUAGUUUGACUGGGGCGGUCUCCUCCUAAAGAGUAACGGAGGAGCACGAAGGUUGGCUAAUCCUGGUCGGACAUCAGGAGGUUAGUGCAAUGGCAUAAGCCAGCUUGACUGCGAGCGUGACGGCGCGAGCAGGUGCGAAAGCAGGUCAUAGUGAUCCGGUGGUUCUGAAUGGAAGGGCCAUCGCUCAACGGAUAAAAGGUACUCCGGGGAUAACAGGCUGAUACCGCCCAAGAGUUCAUAUCGACGGCGGUGUUUGGCACCUCGAUGUCGGCUCAUCACAUCCUGGGGCUGAAGUAGGUCCCAAGGGUAUGGCUGUUCGCCAUUUAAAGUGGUACGCGAGCUGGGUUUAGAACGUCGUGAGACAGUUCGGUCCCUAUCUGCCGUGGGCGCUGGAGAACUGAGGGGGGCUGCUCCUAGUACGAGAGGACCGGAGUGGACGCAUCACUGGUGUUCGGGUUGUCAUGCCAAUGGCACUGCCCGGUAGCUAAAUGCGGAAGAGAUAAGUGCUGAAAGCAUCUAAGCACGAAACUUGCCCCGAG
rnacentral:rRNA from 1 species